GACGUAGGUGGCGAACGUUAUCCGGAAUUAUUGGGCGUAAAGGAUGCGUAGAUGGUGUAGUAAGUUAUCGGUGGCAAAUCGAGGCUCAACCUCGUGGAAGUCGGUAAUACUGCUAUGCUAGAGGAUAGGAGAGGUUAACGGAACUCCCUGUGGAGCGGUGAAAUGCGUAGAUAUAGGGAAGAACACCAAUCAGGCGAAGGCAGUAAACUAUUCUAUUCCUGACAUUGAGGCAUGAAAGCGUGGGGAGCAAAACGG
rnacentral:rRNA from 1 species